CGCUGGGCGCGGCUAUGCUGCAGGGAAGCGCUCCAGCAGGCGAGGAGCGCUGGCAGGUGUCUGAGGAACAGAGGCGGAGCGCAGCUGUUUGACUCUGAAGGCAGCAGAUAGGAAGAACACUUCUGCCUGCCUGCCACGGGCAUCAGCUGAAGGAUCUGCUAUUCUUGCAGAUUCGUCUACAGUGAGUACGUAAUUCGGGGACUGAAAAGAACUAAAAACGGCGCUGUGGUUUCUCAAAGUGUUUUCCAGGACUCCAGUUCUUUUCAUGCAGCCAGUCACCUUCUGGGACUAAAAUGGAAUUUCCUAGCCAUGGCUGCAACCAGGACCUUACUAUAUUCAUGCAGGAAAGAUAUCUAAACUAUUUAACAGCUGCUCGCGUAGCAGAGGGUGUCCACUCUUCCCAGGAAUUCCUGUUUGCAUUUGACUGCAGCAUCUGAGUUUUCUGGGACCUGGGACUGUUAAUGGCUUCCAGGCAAAGUAUAAAAGAGCCUGCCUUCAGUAACUCCAGGCAUAAUAAAGACUGGCGGUCCCUGCAGGUGUGGGCCAAGGCCUGCUAAUAAGAAGGUUUUUUUUUAACCCGAAGAAAAAAGAAAAAACAAAACAAAGAUUGGCCCAAGGCUUUAGGUCAGUUCAUGAUGUCUCUGAGAAAAUAAUUACUGUACAUCCUUAGAGUCCUGUAAUUAGCUAAAAUGGUACAAUCGAACCCAUAUCCCUGGGAUGACUGAACCAGAUGGAGAGAAUACGAACAUUCACUUCCCUUCCUGUGGAAAAGGGGACAGUUUGUCCAGCCACUAGAUCCUUCAUGGGUGUAAACUGAAAGGUAACCAUGCCAAGAAGGAGGGGAGUCUCAAAGGGACUGCACUGAUCAGAACAAAAGGCACACUCAAAAAAGGCAAAGUCAGAGUUGAAUUAAGGGUUUAUUUACAAAUAUCUAGACAAAGUGGAAAAAAGCCACAAAAGGCUUUUGUAGCUCCUGGGACUUGUAGAGCAAGCAAUAUGAGUCUUCAGACCAAGUAGGUAAAGGGAAAGAGUGGUCACUAGAACAUAGAGACAGGGAAGGCUCAAUGGGUGAUGCCACCAGGCAGGAGCUGGACAUGUGGAGGUAACAGUCAGAGGUCAGAGAGACAAAGAAAGAAGCUGAUUCUCAACUUUACUCCCUCCGAUCUGUGGAAACCCUGUCUUUGGAACAACGGGUGAUACAAGACUUGAUAUUCUUGAAGUCAUCAUCCUGGUGCCCAGAGCAAAAAGGAGCCAUGUAGAGAAAUUCUGGAAAACCAACGGAAGUUGCCCAACUCACGGACACCCCAAAUGGUCCUUGGUAGCAGCCCAGUCUGGACAACACCAUGGCCCAGGGUGGGCUACCAGGCCUCCCAUAUCAGCCUACUCCUUUUUUUGUUUGUUUGUUUGUUUGUUUGGGUUUUUUUUGUUUUGUUUUGUUUUUUGUCUUUCCAGACAGGGUUUCUCUGUAGCUUUGGUGCCUGACCUGGAACUAGCUCUUGUAGACCAGGCUGGCCUCAAACUCCCAGAGAUCCGCCUGCCUCUGCCUCCCGAGUGCUGGGAUUAAAGGCGUGCGCCAACACCACCCGGCUAUCAGCCUACUCCUUACUACUUCUCUUUCUCUCCUAUUCUCCACCAUAUAUUCGCUUAUCAUAAAGGGAGCCGUCUGCCCUGCACCGCAGGCUUGUGAAUGUCUUCCCUACAACUCGGGCCAUGAGGACCCAGGCUGGCAUGUGGGUGGCUAACACCCGCCUGAGUGGGGAACGUGGGUGUCUUCCCUCCAACCUGGGGCCUUCCGGAUUGUCUUGAUUAUAUUCAUUGAGGUAGGAGAUCUUCAGUUACCAUUCUGUGCUGUAGGAUCCUGGAAUGUAUUGACUGAGCAGAAGCAGUCAUUGCCCUCUUCUUGUAGCCUGAAGAUAUAGAAUUUGCUUUACACUUCUGCUGUCUUGCUUUCCCCACCAUGGUGCAUGGCACCUGGAGUUGGGGGCCAAAAUAAGCCAUUCCUCCCUUAACUCGGUUUUGCCAUGGUAUGAUAUCACAACAACAGAACCACAAUUAAGAAGGAAAAAAAAACAAACCUUCCACCAUUUACCAGUUUCUGUCAAAUGUCUUGAAUCAAAACAGGCAAGUGACCCGAACGCUAGCACAUUAAGUCCAGGCACUAGGCCACAUUUGUCGUCUGUCUUAGUGCUUUGAUUGCCCUGCGUUCAUUCUUAUUCCCCCGGCCGAAAUCGUGCUUGGCAGUCUCUCUCCGCUUCUGUGUUCUUAUCUGAUGCCAGCACCGGGUGACUCACGGAUCCAUAGGAUUCUAUUAACUUGCCGAUACUAAUUUUCAGGUUUUAACUUAGCCGUGUCUGGUUGUCAGCGCAGGAAUUUUUAUUAGAAAGAAUUAUGGGAUGGAGAGAAGGAAAUCCUGGCUUCUCCACAUAGGGAGCCUUUGAAUGUAUCCCUUUCUGCGCGUGUGCUUAAAUUGUGGGACAAAGCAAAGUUCGGGGCAGUCUGCUUCCUUUGCUCUUUCAGAUACGAGUUGCCAGUGAAUUAUGCUGAACAAUUUUCAUUUCUUCAGCCCAUGCAUAGACUUAAUUUCACCUUUCCUGUUCUUUCUUCCUAUAAAUAUAAUGGGAUUUUGUGAUUCUCGUAACCCUCUCCUGGGGCAUGGAAGUUGAAAUCUUCAUGAGACAACCAGAAGCUUGAUCUUAACCUCUUGAGCGACCACCUGGGGCCAUGGUGUCAUCCAGACCUGAGCUGCUGCCGAGGGCCAUGCCUGGGCCUGGGUCUAGGAUCUUACUGCAUCCGGGUUCUGUGGGUUGAAGUCCGAGGCCCGUGUUGCCACCAAAAGUCCCAUGGAAGCCCAGGGUGGAAGCUGCAAUAUGUGACCUUGUAGGUGUCCAGGCGCUGCCAGAGCCAGCCUGAUCUGAGCAGCCAGGGCUUCCAUCAAGAGCCAGGAUGCUGUCGGGGCCUGGGCCGCUGCUGGGGGCCAUGUCUGGGUCACAAUGGUCCAGCAGCAGCUGGGGUCUGUGUUGAUGUCUGUGGCCUGUGCCACCUCAGGUGGCCGUAGGAACCAUGUGAUACAACCAGAGGGCCAUGCUGAGUCAGCCCUGCCCCUUGCUGACCCUUAGAAAGAUGGCUCCGCCUCUCGUUGCACUCUGCAGCAAGAGAGCUGGCCCCAUCCUUCACAGGAGAGAUGGUCCCACCCCUCGCCACAGGCGAGCAAGAACUUACCCUGACGGCACAGGCUCUGCCCCCUCGCCUGAGGCUAGUGGCCCCAGUGGCUCGGAAUGACCGGCUCAGCUAACAAGCAAGUCUACAGACCACGUGGAGUUGGCUCUCCCUAACAUCCACCCGAGCAAGGACCCCUGGAGCUUGUGAAGGAACUGGUCCUGUGGAAUGAUACCUGCAGGAUCUCCAUGAUUUGGGGAAGCCUUGUGAUAUCCCAGGGGAAUUUCAGUCAGGAUCCAGGGAUGAUGAUGUGCCGGGAAACCAGAGGCCGUGAACGAGACCAAUGAGUCAUUGCAACGAACAUUUGCUAGUAAAGCCAACUGGGCAAAAAGGUAUACUAUGUGGUACACUGCUCCAAAUGCAUGUUGGAUAUAGGUGGGAGAGGUGGAAAACCAGAGAGGGUUUUUGGGGGGUGUUGUGUUUUGUCUUAUUCUUGUGUUUGUAUGCUUGCUAUGUUUUAUUUUGGUUUGAUCUUAUUAAAAUUUUCUUUUAAAGGA